UACGAAGGGGGCUAGCGUUGUUCGGAUUUACUGGGCGUAAAGCGCGCGUAGGCGGGUUGUUAAGUCAGGGGUGAAAUGCCGAGGCUCAACCUCGGAACUGCCUUUGAUACUGGCAACCUGGAGUUCGGGAGAGGUGAGUGGAAUUCCGAGUGUAGAGGUGAAAUUCGUAGAUAUUCGGAGGAACACCAGAAGCGAAGGCGGCUCACUGGCCCGAUACUGACGCUGAGGCGCGAAAGCGUGGGGAGCAAACAGG
rnacentral:rRNA from 1 species